GAUGAACGCUAGCGAUAGGCUUAACACAUGCAAGUCGAGGGGCAGCACAAGGUAGCUUGCUAUCUGGGUGGCGACCGGCGCACGGGUGCGUAACGCGUAUGCAACUUGCCCUAUACAGGAGGAUAACCCGUCGAAAGACGGACUAAUACUGCGUAUGCUCACAACUUGGCAUCAAGUGGUGAGGAAAGAAAUUCGGUAUAGGAUAGGCAUGCGUCCCAUUAGCUUGUUGGUGAGGUAACGGCUCACCAAGGCAACGAUGGGUAGGGGAACUGAGAGGUUUAUCCCCCACACUGGUACUGAGACACGGACCAGACUCCUACGGGAGGCAGCAGUGAGGAAUAUUGGUCAAUGGGCGCGAGCCUGGACCAGCCAAGUCGCGUGAAGGAGGACUGUCUUAUGGAUUGUAAACUUCUUUUAUACGGGAAUAACAAGAGUCACGUGUGACUCCCUGCAUGUACCGUAUGAAUAAGCAUCGGCUAACUCCGUG
rnacentral:rRNA from 1 species